rnacentral:rRNA from 1 species
AGCAGGACAGUGGCCGUGGAGGUCAGGAUCUGCUAAGAGGUGUGUAACAACUUACCUGCUGAGUCAACUGGCCCUGAAAAUGGA